UGCACUUGAAAAUUUUUCGACCUUGUUUCUUUUGUCGAGAAAAGAAAGUAACUCUUUGUAUUAAUUUAGCUUAUGAGGUAAGCUUCGUAUUUAGCUUAUGAGGUAAGCUUCGUAUUUAGCUUAGGAGGUAAGCUUCGGUUUAGCUUAUGAAGUAAGCUUCGGGUUAGCUUAUGAAGUAAGCUUCGGUAAACCUAUAUAUAUAAAGGAGUCGAAAGAGGUUAAAGGGAGGAGGGGAAGAAGGAGAGUCGGGCGCCUUCACAUGUGCAUUUCGAGAAUGGAAGGGACAAAAGUUAAGGCUUUAAACGAACGAGGAGGUAAGCUUCGGUUUAGCUUAUGAAGUAAGCUUCGGGUUAGCUUAUGAAGUAAGCUUCGGUAAACCUAUAUAUAUAAAGGAGUCGAAAGAGGUUAAAGGGAGGAGGGGAAGAAGGAGAGUCGGGCGCCUUCACAUGUGCAUUUCGAGAAUGGAAGGGACAAAAGUUAAGGCUUUAAACGAACGAGGAGGUAAGCUUCGGUUUAGCUUAUGAAGUAAGCUUCGGGUUAGCUUAUGAAGUAAGCUUCGGUAAACCUAUAUAUAUAAAGGAGUCGAAAGAGGUUAAAGGGAGGAGGGGAAGAAGGAGAGUCGGGCGCCUUCACAUGUGCAUUUCGAGAAUGGAAGGGACAAAAGUUAAGGCUUUAAACGAACGAGGUGAGCUUUCUUAUACAAAAAAAAAUACAAAUCGUAUUUUAUGAGAACACGAACACAUGUUCGUGAUGUUUAAAGAUGUUGUCUUGCCAUAAAUGCUUUGUUUUAUGUAGUGAUGCCUAUCUGUUUGGUUAUACCGAAUGUGCUAUGCCAAAAUGAAUGAAUGAAACGAAUUCGGACUCCAAUAGGACCGCAAAUCCUAUUCGAGUUAGUGUACACAAAGGAAUGGACCGUGUGUCAUCGUAAGGGUUGGCCGGUCAAUGUGAUCGUGGAAGGUGGCCACCUUCCCGACACACUAUGAAUUAUCAGAUAUGGCGGAUUACAAGAAUGAACUUAGUCUGAUCAGACGGACUUUAUGAAAAUGAACUUAGUAAACUCGGGCCUUUAAGAAAAACCCCGAGUGUUACUGUGAUGAUGGCUUGACAAUAUUUUAAAAUGUAUAAUUGUAUUUUUCGGCAAUGUGUUCACUGAGUACUUUUGUACUCAGCCCUGCAUAUAUUUCUAAAUGUGCAGGUU